AGAAUAUAUGCUUCCUGAGGGCAGGGCUUUUUUCUUUUUCUGUUUUGUUCACUGUGGUGUCUCAAGAACCUACAACAAUGCUUAUAACGUUGUGGGUUCUCAAAAUAUACUUACUGAAUGAAUGUUGAGAUCUCCACACGUUCCUGAUUUCAUGACCACUGUUUCAUGUAAAUCAGACAUACUUUCACUCAGACGCUCUCACUGGAAACUUCUUUAUGCCCUUGAUACGUCACACUCUAUUCCAGAUACUCUGGGGGCCGUCAGGCCAUGUGGUAGGCAGGCUCCUUUCCUCAGGGUGUUCUCUGUCACCCUAAAGUCUACAAACCACAUGCAGAAUUUCCUCCAACUUUGUGUGGAGCAGAGGAUCUUGGUGUCUGUUUCCUCCUGUCACCUGCACAUUCUCCUUCCAUUUUCUUCCCUUGUGGAAACUCGUUUCUAGAUCUCUUUGCCUAGUCAGUCCUCUGAAGCUCAUCCCUGGGAUACAGUCCUGCCCCAUGAUGUUUGUUACACCAAAAUUUAACAAUGCUCUGUCUUAUUUUUACUUAACUAGUAAAACCUUUGGCUUUUUGUUGACUAAAAAUAUUUAAACCUAAGAGUGUACCAUCAAAAAUAUUUGGCACAGCAGAGCUGCCAAAUAUAUCCUGUUUUGUCUACGUUUACAGCUUCUAUUAUUUUUUCAGAUAGUCUAGUUUACUUUGUAAAUGUGGGCUGACAGUUAAUACUUUGCUUGGCUUUUUAAAUCCAGGUGGAGGAAUUGAAGCAGAGAACCCAGAGCCUGUGUACAAAGAGCUCAUGAUUGCAAAGGAAUUCAAACACCUUAGAAAGAAGAGUAAUUCAUUUGAUCAGAGAGAAAGAGAGAGAGAGAGAGAGACAGAGAGUCUGAAGGAAUUAGAGAGUUAUGGGUCCCUCUUCCAUGAAGCUUGGUGGGUGGGGAGUACUGAAGACAGACAUUCAACAGCUUUGCCCUGGAGGCAGCCAGCUGCCAUGUUGUGAGCUGCCCUAUGUAGAGGCCCCCAUGGCAGAGAACUGAGGUCUCCAGACAACGUCCAGCAGACCUGAGGCUGCCAUAGUGACGUGAGUGAGCUUGGAAGCGGAUCCCUCCCCAGUUGAGCCUUAAAAUGACUACAGCCCUGGAGGGUGCCUCGACUACAGCCUCAACUAUGAGAGUGACUCUCAACCAGGCCCAAAUUUCUUUUUUUUUUUUUUUUGAGGAAGGUUAGCUCUGAGCUAACAUCCACCGUCAAU
rnacentral:lncRNA from 1 species